GCUGGGAUAAGUUUGGUUGGUAGAGCACGAGGCUCUUAAUCUCAGGGUCAUAGGUUUGAGCCCCACGUUGGGCG